UAGGCCCUUUAACAUAAGGGAAAGGGGUGGGAAGCAAGUGAGAUGGCAGCGUCUGGAGUUCGAAUCCCAUUCACUCAAAUAUAGACGUUAUUGCCUGUGAUAGAAGCUCAACGAAAAUAUGCAAUACAUUCAUCAUCGAGUGGGACAAAUAUCUUCACUCUGAUGAUUAAAACGCUCAACCAGCAGGAAAUAUUUAGGCGAAUUUUUAGACAGCUCGAUGUGCAGCUGCAAAUUAGAUGAAAUGCGACAAGCCGAUGGAAGUGAAGGUCUCGUACAAGCCCUCACCAUCUGUGUAGAAGACUGGUUAAAUAGGAGACCUCCAAGCUCAAGCUUAAGGGGCCCUGCCUCUCAGCCAAAAGCUUCUAGAUUUUUCACAGAAGUUAAACAAAGAGAGCCACAGGAAUAUUGGAAAGGCUUGAAAAUGAGUGUCCGAGAUCAAGAAAUGCCCAUGGUGAGCUGUCUGGUUGCAGUCACAUUAAGGUAAGGUUUUUGUUUUCGCCAUAUCUACAUUUACUUCUCAAAUAAGAUUGAAAUCUUUGGUAAAUAGUAUGUUUUAAAUCAAUGUAUUCAAAGAGAGUACAAAGUUCGAAUUAUCUAAUACAGUUAGAUGUGAAGCUGCAUCAGCUUUUAAUUCUCUGU